rnacentral:tRNA from 1 species
GCUCCGGUGGUGCAAUGGCGUAGAGCAUUACCGCCCGGUCAGCAGGAGGUGCGGGUUCGAGUCCUGCCUGGUGUA